GCGANAGUGGCGGAAUUGGUAGACGCGCUGGAUUUAGGUUCCAGUGCCGUAAGGCGUGAGAGUUCGAGUCUCUCCUUUCGCACCA
rnacentral:tRNA from 1 species